rnacentral:rRNA from 1 species
CAGCAGCCACGGGAACACGGAGGGAGCUAGCGUUGUUCGGAAUUACUGGGCGUAAAGCGCGCGUAGGCGGUUACUCAAGUCAGAGGUGAAAGCCCGGGGCUCAACCCCGGAACUGCCUUUGAAACUAGGUGACUAGAAUCUUGGAGAGGUCAGUGGAAUUCCGAGUGUAGAGGUGAAAUUCGUAGAUAUUCGGAAGAACACCAGUGGCGAAGGCGACUGACUGGACAAGUAUUGACGCUGAGGUGCGAAAGCGUGGGGAGCAAACAGGAUUAGAUACCCGUGUAGUCCCUGUCUCUUAUAC